CGGGGGACCAGAUUGCACAACGUUUUCGUUUUGAGGGACCAGAUUGCAUUACACGGAGCAGGCAAGGCCCUCCCCUCUGCCGUCGCCGUCGGGGGUGGCGGCCGUGGGUUCACGCGCGCCGCGGGGUUGCCCCGCCCCCCUUCUCUCCCACAAGGCCACCGCCACAACAUCUCGGGUCUCCGCCUGGAGGCGCAGCAGUAAGCGGCCGAAUAGAGGAGCCGCCUGCGGGCGACCGGCGACGAGGUUAGGGAGGAAAUCUGUUGACUCCGCUAUUGAUGUCUCCAUAAGCACCUUAACAGCUACUUCAUCACCAUUUUCCAUUGUGCCAUGAUGGAGCAGAGGUCAAAGAGGACAAGAGGUGCAUGGAUCUAUCUAGAAGGUAAAAGCCAGGACGACACGGAUUUCAUUACCAGAGGUAGAAGGAGGCUGGCCAUGGACUCGAAUCGUCGCUGUGGCCAGGACGAGCAGCGGUGCCAGGAUCCAUGUCAGUUUUGUACUCGCCGAGCUGAUGAUCGCCAUGGCACUCUUGGAUUUUUGCAAGGCGUUGCAAGCGAGAGGCAUCCACAGAGCAACCUGUGCACUUAUAUGGCAGAUGAAACCAGCUAACGCGGCCGGUUUAGUGGUAUUUUUAGUGACUCAAGCUCAAUCGGCGCGGUGUGAUAAUAAAGAAAACGAAAGCUUUGUCCAUCAGUAGGUGAACUGCUACUUGCAUUAGUCUAAAGGUAAGACUUGCCAUGGGGUUCAGUUCGAUAAUCUCUGCCAGAAUCAACUGCCCGUCAGCGAGAUAACGAGGCCCUACCUGCAGCUCGCUCCUUGAACGCACGCUGAUCUUUCUUUUGAACCAGUCCCCUCGCUGUGCGAGAAUAAAGAAGUGGAAGAAGCUACAGUUACAUUGGAAAGAAGACACAAAGAAGAAAGCCAAUUUGCAAGACCAAAUCCAAGCGUGACCAAGCUGAGGUGCAUUCCCAAACCGAGCUGAUGUAAUGAAGGUAUGAAUGCUUUUCUUGACAUUAUUAUGCGAGUUUUUAACCCAAAGCGGAGAUGGACAUGGACGUCUGCACGGCGGGGCAGUGUGGACGAGGACGACGCAGCACCCUCAGCCCCCUUCUUUUCUCCCCAGGCAAGACCUGGAUUUAUAUUGUCGGCGUAAUGAACGACCCGGCGUGUUGACUGUACGUGGGUAGGAAGAAGAAGAACACCCACCCAGGUACACUAGAUUCUACACACACACCGGCCGGUUGUUGGAUGGCUUGCUUGUUUGCCAAACUCGCAUCCCAGCAUGAACAUCGAACAAGGCAGAAACUGCACUAUCAAGCUACCAACUAAGCUAGUACUUGCCAAUAGACUGCAGGCGGUCAUAAUGGAGCUUGUUUGUAUUAAUCAGUAUAUGGCUGGCUUUAUUAAAUCCAGGGCCAUUCAGGACUGCAUUGCUUGGGCUUAUGGGUAUCUUUUCCAAUGUCACAAAGCAAGCUGCCUACUGUUGUACUUAAAAAUUGACUUUGAAAAAGCUUUUGACGAGCUUGAACAUGGAAUGAUCUUAGCUAUUUUGAGCGAGAA